rnacentral:rRNA from 1 species
UAAGGAAUAUUGGUCAAUGGACGCAAGUCUGAACCAGCCAUGCCGCGUGAAGGAUGAAGGUCCUCUGGAUUGUAAACUUCUUUUAUCUGGGACGAAAACGGGAUUUUUAUCUCAAUUGACGGUACCAGAGGAAUAAGCACCGGCCGACUCCGUGCCAGCAGCCGCGGUAAUACGGAGGGUGCGAGCGUUAUCCGGAUUUACUGGGUUUAAAGGGUGCGUAGGUGGGCUUAUAAGUCAGUGGUGAAAUCUCCGAGCUUAACCUGGAAACUGCCGUCGAUACUAUAGGUCUUGAAUUAUCUGGAGGUAAGCGGAAUAUGUCAUGUAGCGGUGAAAUGCUUAGAUAUGACAUAGAACACCAAUUGCGAAGGCAGCUUACUACAUAUAAAUUGGCGCUGAGGCACGAAAGCGUG